rfam:Myotis lucifugus cont2.50556, whole genome shotgun sequence.
GGCGGUUCUCGGGUGACGCACCCCGGAAUUGGGCUCCCUCCUCUCUGGUUCCGGUUCCGUUACUUGAGAACCGCA